GUAAGUAUCCGGGGCUGGUGGAGGCAAGGGAUAAAAGCAGGGCUCCGUGCUCAAGAAUGGCCCCUGUUUCUCUCUUAGUACGGGUGACAGAGGUGCCUAGCUUCCUCUCUCUUGGAUUCGCUGAUUCUUAGCUGACCUGCACCAAUUUGGACCAUUCCCUCUGACACCUGAAGCAUGGCUGUAGAAGAGAUCUCAAGAUCUGUGUACCACGCGAGUGCCUGGUCUCCCUGGAAGUCAGAGAAGAGCACUGGAUUCUCUGAAACUAGAGUUACAGACGUCUGUGAGCUGCUACCAUACCCAAAGUGCUCUGGAAGAGCAUCCAGCACUCUUAACCACCAAGUCCUCUGUCCAUCCAGCUUUGCUGCUUCUUGAUUAAGUUAAGAUGAACUCAAGGGCUUAGAAGGGGCUGAAAGGGUGCCUGGCAGUGCUACAUAAAUGUUUGUUGUUGUUUUACUAACAGCCGUACUUAUUUUUAUGCUUAGUUGACUAUUUUCGUUUUUGUUGUGUUUCUCUGUAUAAAACAUUUUCCCAUUUCAAUUUUUUUUAAAUCUCUUUGAUUCAUUUCAAAUGAAAUUAAUCACGAAGAGCACUGUGGUAAAAUGCAAUAUAUUUGAGAUUCUCAAAGAGCACAAAUGAAAAUAAUAUGCACUAAAAGCACAGAAUAAGACACUUAAUACUGAGGACAUUUAAUGUGUCUCUAAUAAAAUUUGCAAAAGAAGAGAAUGUGAAGGGAGAAAAAAAAUGACAGACAUUUUAGGAUUAAAAACAAUAUUUUGGGAGCUAGAAAUGUAGUUUAUUGAUGCUCUGGGUGCAAUUUCCAGGACUAAACGAAAAUGAAAAACAAACAUCUAAACAAAAAAACCAAAGACAUUACUUGAGGGGACAUACAAAUGGCCAAAAAGGACAUGAAAAAAUGUUCAACAUAAUGAAUCACUAGGGACAUUCAGAUCAAAGCUGCAGUGAUAUACCGCCCAGUGAGGCUACAGCUAUACAGCUGUAAGUGCAGCUCUGGGGCUGAGGAGGACAGUGGAGAUGUGAACACUCUAAACACUUGGCCAAACAAUUUAUCCCAAACUGCCAGCCCCAGAUUCAAUUAGAGAACGUGUCUCAAAAAGUAAUGGUGGAAACCAACAGAAGAUGUCUGCCCCUGGACACCAUAUGUGCAUACAAAGGUGAUCACUCCAUGCAGAUAGGUACAGGCAUGGAACACACACACACACACACACACACACACACACACACACACACACACACAGAGGGAGAGUAAAUUUAAAAAAACAAAACAAAAAAACAACCAUACAUUUAGAAAUAAAAUUUGAAAAGAAAGGGCUAGAGAGGUGUGGCUCAAGCCAGUAGGCUCACAACCAAGAUAAGGCCAAAUUAGAAAAGGAAAAAAAAAUAAAAAUAAAAAAAGCCCUCAGGAUAAAGAUAUGCCUUGCAUAUGAAGCAGGAAAAAUUGACAAGGCCACACCUAGA